GACCUAGCCCUAUUCCAUUAUGAACAACAAUAUAACUCUGUCUAGAGGUGACCUAGCCCUAUUCCAUUAUAAACAACCUCUGUCUAGAGGUGACCUAGCCCUAUUCCAUUAUAAACAACAAUAUAACUCUGUCUAGAGGUGACCUAGCCCUGUUUCAUUAUAAACAACCUCUGUCUAGAGAUGACCUAGCCCUGUUUCAUUAUAAACAACCUCUGUCUAGAGGUGACCUAGCCCUAUUCCAUUAUAAACAACCUCUGUCUAGAGGUGACCUAGCCCUAUUCCAUUAUAAACAACCUCUGUCUAGAGAUGACCUAGCCCUAUUCCAUUAUAAACAACCUCUGUCUAGAGGUGACCUAGCCCUAUUCCAUUAUAAACAACCUCUGUCUAGAGGUGACCUAGCCCUAUUCCAUUAUAAACAACAAUAUAACUCUGUCUAGAGGUGACCUAGCCCUGUUUCAUUAUAAACAACCUCUGUCUAGAGAUGACCUAGCCCUGUUUCAUUAUAAACAACCUCUGUCUAGAGGUGACCUAGCCCUAUUCCAUUAUAAACAACCUCUGUCUAGAGGUGACCUAGCCCUAUUCCAUUAUAAACAACCUCUGUCUAGAGAUGACCUAGCCCUAUUCCAUUAUAAACAACCUCUGUCUAGAGGUGACCUAGCCCUAUUCCAUUAUAAACAACCUCUGUCUAGAGAUGACCUAGCCCUAUUCCAUUAUAAACAACCUCUGUCUAGAGUUGACCUAGCCCUAUUCCAUUAUAAACAACAAUAUAACUCUGUCUAGAGUUGACCUAGCCCUAUUCCAUUAUAAACAACAAUAUAACUCUGUUUAGAGGUGACCUAGCCCUAUUCCAUUAUAAACAACCUCUGUCUAGAGUUGACCUAGCCCUAUUCCAUUAUGAACAACAAUAUAACUCUGUUUAGAGGUGACCUAGCUCUAUUCAAUUAUGAACAACAAUAUAACUCUGUUUAGAGGUGACCUAGCCCUAUUCCAUUAUAAACAACCUCUGCCUAGAGGUGACCUAGCCCUAUUCCAUUAUAAACAACCUCUGUCUAGAGAUGACCUAGCCCUAUUCCAUUAUAAACAACCUCUGUCUAGAGGUGACCUAGCCCUAUUCCAUUAUGAACAACAAUAUAACUCUGUCUAGAGAUGACCUAGCCCUGUUCCAUUAUAAACAACCUCUGUCUAGAGGUGACCUAGCCCUAUUCCAUUAUAAACAACCUCUGUCUAGAGUUGACCUAGCCCUAUUCCAUUAUGAACAACAAUAUAACUCUGUUUAGAGGUGACCUAGCCCUAUUCCAUUAUAAACAACCUCUGUUUAGAGGUGACCUAGCCCUAUUCCAUUAUAAACAACAAUAUAACUCUGUCUAGAGUUGACCUAGCCCUAUUCCAUUAUAAACAACCUCUGUCUAGAGAUGACCUAGCCCUAUUCCAUUAUAAACAAUCUCUGUCUAGAGGUGACCUAGCCCUAUUCCAUUAUAAACAACCUCUGUCUAGAGGUGACCUAGCCCUAUUCCAUUAUAAACAACCUCUGUCUAGAGUUGACCUAGCCCUAUUUCAUUAUGAACAAAAGUUGAACUUAGAGAACUUUGAGUCUCUGUUACUUUUAUUGUAAAUUAAUUAACUUUUCAUUUUUAUUGUAGAUGAUUAAAAUUUUACUUUUAUUAAUUAAAUUGUACUUUAUCGUAAAUUAUUUAACUAACUUUUAUUGUUAAUUAUUUAAAUUUGAAUUUAUUGUAAAUUACUUUAAUGUUAAACUGUUAUCAUUUUCCAAUGUACUUUUCUAUGUAUUGUAUAUACUGUUUACUUUCUAUAAAUGUGUUAUUUUUUUCCAGUUUACUUUGCAAUGUAUAUUCUUUUCAAACGUAUUAUUAUUAUUAUUUUCUAUGAUUGUGUAUAAUAUUUUUUUUAGCAAUUCUGAAUGCAACCGACCAGCAUGACGUUCACCUCUCUGUACCCUGCAAUCGCGGCAAUGUAACCAUAGAAAUAUAAUUACAAGAACAGUAUUCCUGUUCAUUCUCCCUUGUUCUAAUGGGAUUUUUUCCCCCGAAAUCUAGAAAUCAUAUAUCUAUGAAUGUUAAAGAGGAGAAAAAAAUCCACUUUUCCUCAGCUGUCCUCUGAAUGUUUGGCAGGUGAUAUAACUAAGUAUCAUAUUUUCUUAGCUGCUAUCAAUAAGACAUCCAUCCAUCUGCUAUUUAAAAAUAUAGAUAUUUUGCACUCCUGUAUUUGCAUGACUAUGAUGCACCAACAUUUAUAAGUCAGUUGCUUAUAAAUUAAAGUAAAUUAAAGUAAAAAAAGCUGUUAAUUUAUUGUAUCAAAUGAACACAUAUAGAGAAUCAGAGUUGAUAUUAUUAUAAUCAUCCAAAAAUAACCCCAAUCAGUCAGUACAUCCACGUAUAGUCAAGAAUAUUUUUUUAAAUAUUUUUUUUAUACAUAUCACUGUUGCUAUUGUCAGAAUAAACUGUCCAACAUAUCAGUUAAACACAUUAUUUGCUCAAUAUGAAUUGAUACAGUGCCUUCUGAAAGCAUUCUGAAAGCAAUUGACUUUUUCCCACAUUCUGUUGUGUUGAUGUUGUGUCACUGAUCUAAACUCAAUACCCCCAUCAUAUUCAAAGUGGAAUUAUGUUUUUAGAUUUUUUUUAUUAACAAAUUAAUUAAAAAUUAAAAGCUGAAAUGUCUUGAGUCAA